rnacentral:tRNA from 1 species
AGGUAUUGCGCCAGACGAAUGGGUAACAUUGAUGAUGUUAAUUAUGAGAUUUUUCUCCAAUACCUU